GCAGUUUGCAGAUCUGGUGCGUGCGGCGGUUGGUGCAGCUGGUGCAGGCCCCGCAGUUCUCCAGCCGCCGGCAGGGCUCACAGACAGUCAAGAGUGCACAAGGGUGAAGGCAAGUAACUCCAGUAUCCAGAAUGGGCGCCUCUUCACCUCCUCUGCAGCACUCUGGCCGGGCUCAGCCGGGGGCCACUCUCCCAUCUGCUGGAGCCUGGGAUCUGGGGCAGGACACCAGCAGCGGUCCCCAGAGAAGGGAUCAUCUUGGCUGGGCGGGCUCUUCACCCUCACCCACCCUGGACCCAGGCAUGAGUGGCCAAAGCAAGUCGCAAGGUGGCCAGGAAGAACUGUGCAGGCAAUGCUCCCAAGUGCCUGCAAGGAGAAGCAAACAUUUGGUUAACAGCACUAAUAACACACAGGGAAUAGCGGAUGUGGAUAUUCGAGGGGUGUACAUGGAUCCCACCACCGUUGAUUCAGACCUCCUGGGCCUAGCAGUCUCACCAGAGCCCUAGACUUGAAAAGACGGGGAACCUGGACCAUCCUGCAGCCUAUCAGGAGAAGAAGUUUCAAAGUCUAGGCUCUCCAGGGGGUCCUGGCUGGCUCAGUCAUUUAUCGUCUGCCCUCAG